GACAAAGUUACAGAUUAAGACCAAUACUUUAUAUUAAUGCUUCAGCUGAGCAGUAUGAAAUAGAAAUGGCAACAGAAGCAAAAAAAAAAACUUUACAACCUGCAGUCAUUUUACAACACUGACCGAAAAAGUCUUUGUAUUUCACACUAAAUCGCCGAAAUAAGACACAGAACUUGACGAAUACUUAACACCAAUGCCCCAGGCUGAUCUGUGUCUAAAGAGGAACUAAGAGCUGUAGCAGAUAUGCUAAGGCCGUGCAACACUACAGUCGAAAACUUUAUGCGGCAUUUGAUGUGGUUUUCUUGCCCUGAAUAUUGAAUGCCACAUGCUACAGUCGAGAAAUGCCGACUGCCUUGAUCCGUCCCUGCCGCUUGGUCCUUUACAAUUCAGAGCUAACGAGCCGCUGGCAUCGCUGCUGCGGCCGAGUGACAAAUGAAAAAUGAAAAUGUUUUUCAGGCAUAUUAAAAAGGAUUUGCCGUACGCCAGAUAAAUGUGCCUAGGCACAACGCAUUACUUAAAUUAAUUUUCACACACACACAAAGGCGCACACACAGGCGCAGAAAAAAAGGACAACUGCUAGACGAAAUCGGCAGCUCGGUAAAUAUUUAAAUGAGCAGAAGGACAACAGAGGGCUACAAAAUAUACAAAAGAAAAAAAAAAAAACAAAAAAAAAGAAAAUAAAACAAAUAAAUGGCCAACACGUCGAACGACGCAUUAAACAUGUGCAAA